UUCAACUGAACAGUGUGAUCUGGUGAAUGCAAAUAACUUAAGAAAUAUAAAAUUAAAUUAUUCAAAGUAUUAUAGAUAUAUUAAUAUUACUAUUUUUGGGAAGAGAAAGCUAUAGUUUCUGGGCACUUGAUCCCCUAGGUAUGAUCCUUGAUUUGAUCUAGAACACAUAGAUAAUCAGUAGUAAAAAGGAAUUAAAGUCUACAAUAGAGUUAUGCCUGUAAAUAGGAUACAUAGGUUGGGAGUUAGAGUCGAAAUCGCCUUAAAUUUAGUCAAAAAAGGACGUUCGGAAGGCAAACAUGCAAAACAGCCCCCAAACCAGUCAAUGGAUGUCACGUGCAGCUUCCUCGUGACAAAUACAACUUGUGGGGACAGACGGUACGUAAAUAUGACACAUUGGUUGGGAGUUAGGGUUGAAAACAUCUUAAAUUUAGUCGAAAAAGGUUUUCAAAGGGGGAAAAUGCAAAACUAAUGAUUAAUUACCUACAAUGAUUACUUUGAAAAGAUAACUGGUUGCCUUGCAUAUGCCUCAGUUUUAUAUAAUUUUUUUAUAUAUACAUUCGAGUUUUAUAUGAUUUUCUUUUAUAAUUUUAAAUAUGCCAAUAAAAAAUCAAUACUAAUGAGUAAUUUUAUUUUUACAGAUGGUUUUUGCCGUGGAAUUUUGGAUACGGCUUUUUUUUGUCUAUGGAAGACAUUGGUUUUUUUCUACAGAUUACUAUUGUUUGUACAGAUAACUAUUUGUGCGGUACGGAUUACUUUUUUUGCGUGGUACAAUUUACUUUAUUCACGUGGUACAGAUUACUCUCAACUUGGCAUGGUACAUA